AGUGUGGGAGGAAAACAGAGGCACAGAGAGGUGAAGUGAUUUGCCCAAGAUGAGUGACAGCGGUGGGAACAGAAGCAGGCCUUUUGUAAGGCUUCUCCACACGGAGCCUAAGGUGACUCACAAGCAAACAGCUACAGAUGCGGGUUUGGAGUCUAUCUGAACAGUGAUUGUAAAACCGCCCAUGCAAAACUGGCAUCAUCUCUGGACUGACAGAUCUAGAAGACAGCACAACAUUCAGGUGUGCUUGCCGAGGAGACACACCUUUCCCGCAUGACCAA